ACUGAGGCUUGGAAAGUUACCUAAAUUGUUCCAUAAAGUCAGGUAGAGUGACUUCUGGGAAGAUGGUGCAGAGGCAACAGUGAAAACCAUCAAGAAUCGAUCUAGAGCACAGCACAUACCACAGGUGGGACCAGUAGCCCAGUGAAAUGCAUGCCACAAGUGGGACCAGGAGCACAGAAGUCUGAAGCAGCAGUGAGAAUAUGAGCCAGUGAUUGCUUCUCCUUUGUUUGGGUAUCAUCCAUCAUCUGCUCCCCCCACUCCCUUUCUAUCUUUUGCACUUUCCCUAUCAACAUUUUGAGUCCUA